GACCCCUUUUGUUAAAAAAAACUUAUUUGUUUAAAAGGAAGAACUGCCCCCUCACCACGAUUACAUGUGGGGUCCCCCAUCGAGCAAGGAAAGCAUAAUCUCUUUUUUUUUUUAUAGGGAGGGGCGCGCUGUUCUGCCCGGGGGUUUUUCUUUCUUUUACCUCUAGUCGGGGAAAUUACCUCAUAUAGAGGGGGCGGGGAUAAAAAAGAUAAGACGCGAUGGGCUUUGGAGCUUUAUUCGAUUCGCUUCAGCCAAAAUCUAUUCACAUGAGCAGAAGGUUAAUUCUUCUAUAGAAAAGAUAUUAAUUUGGCUUAAGCUAAUCGGAGCAUACCAAAACCUCCGAAUGAUUCUAAUCCAGACUUACCCGUCUAAAUUCAUAGUCGUUAAUUGAACCAAUCUAUUGUUCAACGGAGCUAGUUCCUCGAGGGAUAACAGCGCAAUGCUACUCAAGAGUGCCAUCGACAGUAGGGUUUACGACCUCGCUGGGGAUCAGGACCUCCAAAUGUACAGCAGCUCUAAUAAUCGUGUCUUGCUCCUCCAGG
rnacentral:rRNA from 1 species